CAUGCCGGUCGAAGAUACCAGGCCGCUGCGACUGUUUAUUAAAAACACAGCACUCUGCAAACACGAAAGUGGACGUAUAGGGUGUGACGCCUGCCCGGUGCCGGAAGGUUAAUUGAUGGGGUUAGCUAACGCGAAGCUCUUGAUCGAAGCCCCGGUAAACGGCGGCCGUAACUAUAACGGUCCUAAGGUAGCGAAAUUCCUUGUCGGGUAAGUUCCGACCUGCACGAAUGGCGUAACGAUGGCGGCGCUGUCUCCACCCGAGACUCAGUGAAAUUGAAAUCGCUGUGAAGAUGCAGUGUAUCCGCGGCUAGACGGAAAGACCCCGUGAACCUUUACUAUAGCUUUGCACUGGACUUUGAAUUUGCUUGUGUAGGAUAGGUGGGAGGCUUUGAAGCGUGGACGCCAGUCUGCGUGGAGCCAACCUUGAAAUACCACCCUGGCAACUUUGAGGUUCUAACUCAGGUCCGUUAUCCGGAUCGAGGACAGUGUAUGGUGGGUAGUUUGACUGGGGCGGUCUCCUCCUAAAGAGUAACGGAGGAGUACGAAGGUGCGCUCAGACCGGUCGGAAAUCGGUCGUAGAGUAUAAAGGCAAAAGCGCGCUUGACUGCGAGACAGACACGUCGAGCAGGUACGAAAGUAGGUCUUAGUGAUCCGGUGGUUCUGUAUGGAAGGGCCAUCGCUCAACGGAUAAAAGGUACUCCGGGGAUAACAGGCUGAUACCGCCCAAGAGUUCAUAUCGACGGCGGUGUUUGGCACCUCGAUGUCGGCUCAUCACAUCCUGGGGCUGAAGCCGGUCCCAAGGGUAUGGCUGUUCGCCAUUUAAAGUGGUACGCGAGCUGGGUUUAGAACGUCGUGAGACAGUUCGGUCCCUAUCUGCCGUGGACGUUUGAGAUUUGAGAGGGGCUGCUCCUAGUACGAGAGGACCGGAGUGGACGAACCUCUGGUGUUCCGGUUGUCACGCCAGUGGCAUUGCCGGGUAGCUAUGUUCGGAAUAGAUAACCGCUGAAAGCAUCUAAGCGGGAAACUAGCCUCAAGAUGAGAUCUCACUGGAACCUUGAGUUCCCUGAAGGGCCGUCGAAGACUACGACGUUGAUAGGUUGGGUGUGUAAGCGCUGUGAGGCGUUGAGCUAACCAAUACUAAUUGCCCGUGAGGCUUGACCAU
rnacentral:rRNA from 1 species